AUUGAACGCUGGCGGCAGGCCUAACACAUGCAAGUCGAGCGGAUGAAGGGAGCUUGCUCCUGUAUUCAGCGGCGGACGGGUGAGUAAUGCCUAGGAAUCUGCCUGGUAGUGGGGGAUAACGUCCGGAAACGGGCGCUAAUACCGCAUACGUCCUGAGGGAGAAAGUGGGGGAUCUUCGGACCUCACGCUAUCAGAUGAGCCUAGGUCGGAUUAGCUAGUUGGUGGGGUAAAGGCCUACCAAGGCGACGAUCCGUAACUGGUCUGAGAGGAUGAUCAGUCACACUGGAACUGAGACACGGUCCAGACUCCUACGGGAGGCAGCAGUAGGGAAUAUUGGGCAAUGGGCGAAAGCCUGAUGCAGCCAUGCCGCGUGUGUGAAGAAGGUCUUCGGAUUGUAAAGCACUGUAAGUUGGGAGGAAGGGAAGUAAGUUAAUACCUUGCUGUUUUGACGUUACCAACAGAAUAAGCACCGGCUAACUUCGUG
rnacentral:rRNA from 1 species